rnacentral:rRNA from 2 species
ACUCUGGUAUUGAUUGGUGCUUGCAUCAUGAUUUACAUUUGAGUGAGUGGCGAACUGGUGAGUAACACGUGGGAAACCUGCCCAGAAGCGGGGGAUAACACCUGGAAACAGAUGCUAAUACCGCAUAACAACUUGGACCGCAUGGUCCGAGUUUGAAAGAUGGCUUCGGCUAUCACUUUUGGAUGGUCCCGCGGCGUAUUAGCUAGAUGGUGGGGUAACGGCUCACCAUGGCAAUGAUACGUAGCCGACCUGAGAGGGUAAUCGGCCACAUUGGGACUGAGACACGGCCCAAACUCCUACGGGAGGCAGCAGUAGGGAAUCUUCCACAAUGGACGAAAGUCUGAUGGAGCAACGCCGCGUGAGUGAAGAAGGGUUUCGGCUCGUAAAACUCUGUUGUUAAAGAAGAACAUAUCUGAGAGUAACUGUUCAGGUAUUGACGGUAUUUAACCAGAAAGCCACGGCUAACUACGUGCCAGCAGCCGCGGUAAUACGUAGGUGGCAAGCGUUGUCCGGAUUUAUUGGGCGUAAAGCGAGCGCAGGCGGUUUUUUAAGUCUGAUGUGAAAGCCUUCGGCUCAACCGAAGAAGUGCAUCGGAAACUGGGAAACUUGAGUGCAGAAGAGGACAGUGGAACUCCAUGUGUAGCGGUGAAAUGCGUAGAUAUAUGGAAGAACACCAGUGGCGAAGGCGGCUGUCUGGUCUGUAACUGACGCUGAGGCUCGAAAGUAUGGGUAGCAAACAGGAUUAGAUACCCUGGUAGUCCAUACCGUAAACGAUGAAUGCUAAGUGUUGGAGGGUUUCCGCCCUUCAGUGCUGCAGCUAACGCAUUAAGCAUUCCGCCUGGGGAGUACGGCCGCAAGGCUGAAACUCAAAGGAAUUGACGGGGGCCCGCACAAGCGGUGGAGCAUGUGGUUUAAUUCGAAGCUACGCGAAGAACCUUACCAGGUCUUGACAUACUAUGCAAAUCUAAGAGAUUAGACGUUCCCUUCGGGGACAUGGAUACAGGUGGUGCAUGGUUGUCGUCAGCUCGUGUCGUGAGAUGUUGGGUUAAGUCCCGCAACGAGCGCAACCCUUAUUAUCAGUUGCCAGCAUUAAGUUGGGCACUCUGGUGAGACUGCCGGUGACAAACCGGAGGAAGGUGGGGAUGACGUCAAAUCAUCAUGCCCCUUAUGACCUGGGCUACACACGUGCUACAAUGGAUGGUACAACGAGUUGCGAACUCGCGAGAGUAAGCUAAUCUCUUAAAGCCAUUCUCAGUUCGGAUUGUAGGCUGCAACUCGCCUACAUGAAGUCGGAAUCGCUAGUAAUCGCGGAUCAGCAUGCCGCGGUGAAUACGUUCCCGGGCCUUGUACACACCGCCCGUCACACCAUGAGAGUUUGUAACACCCAAAGUCGGUGGGGUAACCUUUUAGGAACCAGCCGCCUAAGGGGACAG